CUCAAGGUGGACUUGUGACACAGUCAAACACCCAAAACAAGUGGACGCUACCUCAUGUGGAGUCUUUGCAUUGAAAUUUGCUGAAAAGAUCUUGCGAAAAGAGUCAAUAGACUUUCCAUCUACAAAAAAGGCCGUAAACACACACAGGCUGCAAAUUGCCACCACUCUCCUCCUAGAGACAGAUGACCUGACAAACAUCUGUUAUUUCUGCGGGGAAGAAGAGCAUGAAA